UUGUAAAAAUAGGGGAGGCUUUCAGGGGCUGGGAGUAUAUGUGGAAAUACAGAGAAGCUGGUGGAGCUGUAGAAGCGUGAGAAGAAAGGAAUCCACUAGGAGGCCUGACAAUUGGGAAAUAAAAUACAAGAGAGAUCGUGGUCAUCACAUCCCAGAUUAAAAGCAACCCAUCACAAUUUCUGUCGGAAAUGAACAUUUUUAAUCUGCCUAUUUGUCCACCUCUUCUCCUGGCCUCACCAUUCUUCCUUAUCACCAUGGGUUAAACCUGUCUUGAGGAUUGCACACCAGACCCCAGACCAAGGGCUGCGUGAUGAGCACUCAUCCAUCCUUUGCCGAGAUUCUAAUGUUCCACUCUAGAUGACCUGGGCUCCUGGCUCCUGAAACUGCUUCUUCGGUGGCCAGGCCUCGAGGCCCCAGGAUCUGCCCACAUUCCGGAGACAGUUAGGGUUUCUCAUUGAUGUCUGCCUGGGCCCUAUCCUCAGAUUAGCCGCCACUAAAAUGCAAUCUCUGUCUUGAGAAAUGAACAGCCUGACCCCUGGGAAGUGCUGCUGAUGCACUGCUGCUUCUCUGAGACCUGUCAUCUCCAGCUUCUCGCCACUCCCAGGCGCAGCCCAUUGGUGAAAAGAAGCCAUCACUGUGCUCUCACUGCUGAGCGCUCACCCAUCACUCCUUCGGGAGUGCAGAGGAGUCCUUCCUUCACAGCUUGACCUCUCUGUCCACAUCUAGCAUCAACAGAGGACAGUUUCCUCAACUAGAGAAAGGGAAUGCCCUUGGGUUCUAGAUAGCAGAGUUGAGACUCUUUUGCCCAGAGUGAAAAUAAAAGAGCAGGGUCUAGAAAGGA